rnacentral:rRNA from 1 species
CGACCGGCGCACGGGUGAGUAACACGUAUGGAACCUGCCCUAUGCAGGGGGACAAGCGGAAGAAAUUCCGUCUAAUACCGCAUAACACCUUUAGGAGACAUCUUCUUGGGGUCAAAGGAGGCGACUCCGGCAUAGGAUGGCCAUGCGUCGCAUUAGCUAGUCGGCGGGGUAACGGCCCACCGAGGCGACGAUGCGUAGGGGUUCUGAGAGGAAGGUCCCCCACACUGGUACUGAGACACGGACCAGACUCCUACGGAAGGCAGCAG